AUGGCGGCGUCCUCCCCCACCCCCGGCAGCGGCCUCGGGACCAUCCUCGCCGCCGGCGACAGGGACUACCUCGUCCGCAACUCCGGCGAGCAGGUGAAGAUCAGCAGCAUUGAGGGGGACACUGUAGCUGUCUAUUUCUCGGCCUCAUGGUGCCCGCCAUGCCAGCGGUUUACGCCAAAGCUUAUUGAAGCAUACAAAGAACUUACCUCACAUGGCAAGAGCUUUGAGGUGAUCUUUGUUUCAGGCGACCAAGAUGAGGAAGCAUUCAAUGCCUAUUUUGCAAAGAUGCCGUGGUUGGCAGUUCCUUUCUCCGACUCUGAAGGCCGUAAAAGCCUUGAUGAGCGGUUUGAGGUCAACGGUAUUCCACACCUUGUUUUCCUUGAUGCAAAAACUGGUGAAGUUCUUACUGAUGAAGGAGUUGAGUUUGUGAGUGAAUAUGGUAUAGAAGCUUAUCCUUUUACAGCCGAGAGGAUCGAUGAAUUGAAGGAACAAGAAAAGGCUGCUAAGGAUAACCAGACUAUUCAUAGUGUGCUUGGUACACCAAAUCGUAACUACGUAAUUUCAAACACGGGGGAGAAGGUACCCAUUGUUGAUCUUGAGGGGAAGUAUGUUGGUAUAUGCUUUGUAGUGAACGGCUAUCCUCCAGUUGUGGAAUUUACCCCAGUGCUUGCCAAGAUAUAUGCGAAACUCAAAGAAGUGGGGGAGAAGUUUGAAGUUGUAGCUGUAUCCUUGGACAGUGACGAGGAAUCAUUCAAUAACAGUUUUUCAAGCAUGCCUUGGCUCGCCAUUCCUCAGGGCGACAAGAUGUGUCAGAAGCUUGUCAGUUACUUUGAGCUUAGUGAUCUUCCUACACUGGUGCUCAUUGGUCCUGAUGGGAAGACACUGAGCAGCAAUAUUGCGGACAUAAUUAAUGAGCACGGUUUGGAUGCAUGGGAGGGGUUCCCCUUCAAUGCAGAGAAGCUGGAAAUUCUAGCGGAGAAGGCAAAGGCUAAAGCAGCGGCACAGACAUUGGAGUCCCUUCUGGUUACUGGUGAUAUAGACUUUGUCAUCGGGAAAGAUGGAGCAAAGGUUCCUGUAGCAGAACUUGUUGGGAAGACUGUCCUCCUCUACUUUUCAGCUAAAUGGUGUGGGCCAUGCAGAGCCUUCCUGCCUACACUUGUGGAUGUUUACAACAAGGUCAAGGAGAAGAACAGCGAUUUCGAGAUCGUCUUCAUCUCUAGCGACAGGGACCAGAGCUCAUUCGACGACUUCUUCUCUGGCAUGCCAUGGCUCGCCGUUCCCUUGGAAGACGACAGGAAGGCGUACCUGAAAAAGAAGUUCAAGAUCCGCGGAAUCCCUUCUCUCGUCGCCAUUGGUCCCGAUGGGAAGACGGUCAACACGGACGCGAAGACUUCGCUGGCGGUCCAUGGCGCCGACGCGUUUCCGUUCACCAGCGAGAGGAUCCAGGAGCUGGAGAAGAAGAUCGACGAGAUGGCGAAGGGGUGGCCUGAGAAGGUGAAGCACGAGCUGCACGAGCACGAGCUCGUGCUGAUCCGCCGCCCCAGGCCGUACGGCUGCGACGGGUGCGAAGAGAUGGGCACCUCCUGGUCCUACAACUGCGCGGAGUGCGACUUCGAUCUGCACACCAAGUGCGCGCUGGGUGAGGAGAAGAAGGGAGACGUCUGCAGGAAGGCCUAG
rnacentral:rRNA from 1 species